rnacentral:rRNA from 1 species
UACGGGGGGGGCAAGCGUUGUUCGGAAUUACUGGGCGGAAAGGGCUUGUAGGUGGCCAACUAAGUCAGACGUGAAAUCCCUCGGCUUAACCGGGGAACUGCGUCUGAUACUGGAUGGCUUGAGUGUGGGAGAGGGAUGCGGAAUUCCAGGUGUAGCGGUGAAAUGCGUAGAUAUCUGGAGGAACACCGGUGGCGAAGGCGGCAUCCUGGACCAUUACUGACACUGAAAAGCGAAAGCCAGGGGAGCAAACGGG